UACAGAGGGUGCGAGCGUUAAUCGGAAUUACUGGGCGUAAAGCGCGCGUAGGCGGCUUUGCAAGUCGGGUGUGAAAUCCCCAGGCUUAACCUGGGAACUGCAUUCGAGACUGCAUUGCUAGAGUAUGGGGAGAGGGAAGUGGAAUUUCAGGUGUAGCGGUGAAAUGCGUAGAUAUCUGAAGGAACAUCAGUGGCGAAAAGCGACUUCCUGGACCAAUACUGACGCUCAUGUGCGAAAAGCGUGGGGGAGCAAACAGGG
rnacentral:rRNA from 1 species